GGGAUUGCCUCAGUAACGGCGAGUGAAGCGGCAACAGCUCAAAUUUGAAAUCUGAUCCCAAGCGGAUCCGAGUUGUAAUUUGCAGAGGACGCUUCGGGGGCGGAGCCGGCCCAAGUCCAUUGGAACGUGGCGUCAGAGAGGGUGAGAGUCCCGUCCGCGGCCGGCCUCCAAACCCAGAGGUAGCUCCUUCGACGAGUCGAGUUGUUUGGGAAUGCAGCUCUAAAUGGGUGGUAAAUUUCAUCUAAAGCUAAAUACUGGCCAGAGACCGAUAGCGCACAAGUAGAGUGAUCGAAAGAUGAAAAGCACUUUGGAAAGAGAGUCAAACAGUACGUGAAAUUGUUGAAAGGGAAGCGUUAGCGAUCAGACCUGCCCGCGGGCGAUCAGCCUCCGUUUGCGGAGGUGCACUCGCCCGCGAUCAGGCCAGCGUCGGUUCGGGCGGUCGGAGAACGGCUCGGGGAACGUAGCUCCCUCCGGGGAGUGUUACAGCCCGGAGCGCAAUGCGGCCAGCCCGGAUCGAGGAGCGCGCCUUCGGGCCAGGAUGCUGGCGUAAUGGUCGUUAACGGCCCGUCUUGAAACACGGACCAAGGAGUCUAACAUCUGUGCGAGUGUUUGGGCGUCAAACCCAUGCGCGCAAUGAAAGUGAACGGAGGUGAGAGCCUUCGGGCGCAUCAUCGACCGAUCCGGAUGUCUUCGGAUGGAUUUGAGUAUGAGCACAGCUGUUGGGACCCGAAAGAUGGUGAACUAUGCCUGAAUAGGGUGAAGCCAGAGGAAACUCUGGUGGAGGCUCGCAGCGGUUCUGACGUGCAAAUCGAUCGUCAAAUUUGGGCAUAGGGGCGAAAGACUAAUCGAACCAUCUAGUAGCUGGUUCCUGCCGA
rnacentral:rRNA from 1 species